rnacentral:lncRNA from 1 species
AAGCUGAGCAGGAACAAGAACAUUUUUCUGGACCAAUUAAUUUCAGGUAUUUUUUUCCUCUUUUUUUCCUUUAUGUUUUUAUCUUCUUCUUCUUAGAUCUAUAAAAAUUAUGGCAUAAAUCUUUUGAUAUUCUUGAUAAAUCUACUACCUGUCAUAUUUUUUCCAUAAAAUUUUCAAUACACAGUUUUUUUCUUCAUCAAUUCUCGUCACAUUCCACAGUUAAAACUAACCAAAAAUUAAUCAAGCAACCCACAAAAAACACAUUUUUUCUUCAUCAAUCACAAUCGGUAACUCAAAUCAUCAAACCAAACAAGGGGGGAAUCCAAAUAGAGAG